UAUAUACAGUUGCACCUUGUU
rnacentral:piRNA from 1 species